UGUAAAAUAUAAAUAUUAAUAAUAAAAUUUGCAAAUUUUAAUAUAUAUUACUUUAAAAAAUAAAUCGUCCCGCGAUAUACCGCGGGUUAAAAUCUAGUAUUAAUAUAUAGGUGUUAACAUACAUCAUCAUGUUCCAUUGUUACAAAACUCGUUGAUAAGGUUGUCUAAAUUCUUCCUAGACGAACCAAUACCUUCCUCCAAAGCCUUCUUCGCCAUCUUACCAUAUGCCUCG
rnacentral:sRNA from 1 species